rnacentral:rRNA from 1 species
CUAAGUUUGAUGGCGACCGGCGCACGGGUGAGUAACACGUAUCCAACCUGCCGAUGACUCGGGGAUAGCCUUUCGAAAGAAAGAUUAAUACUCGAUGGCAUAGUUCUUCCGCAUGGUAGAACUAUUAAAGAAUUUCGGUCAUCGACGGGGAUGCGUUCCAUUAGGUUGUUGGCGGGGUAACGGGCCCACCAAGCCUUCGAUGGAUAGGGGUUCUGAGAGGAAGGUCCCCCACAUUGGAACUGAGACACGGUCCAAACUCCUACGGGAGGCAGCAUG